AGCGAACGCUGGCGGCAUGCCUAACACAUGCAAGUCGAACGAGACCUUCGUAUGUGGUUGCUCUCGCGUGCGUCACGCGUCGGACCCUGCCCGUAGACUCCGGAUUCUACCCCUUAGUGGGUGCUAACGCCGGGUAACUUCCGCUGAUACAGGAUUUGUCGCCCUUGGAUGGGCCCGCGUUGGAUUAGCCAGUUGGUAGGGUAUGAGCCUAUCAAGGCGACGAUCGAUAGCUGGUCUGAGAGGAUGAUCAGCCACACUGGGACUGAGACACGGCCCAGACUCCUACGGGAGGCAGCAGUGGGGAAUAUUGGACAAUGGGCGAAAGCCUGAUCCAGCAAUGCCGCGUGAGUGAUGAAGGCCUUAGGGUUGUAAAGCUCUUUUACCCGGGAUGAUAAUGACAGUACCGGGAGAAUAAGCUCCGGCUAACUCCGUG
rnacentral:rRNA from 1 species